rnacentral:lncRNA from 1 species
UGCAGUAAUGAAGGUGGAAAAAUAUUUCCUCGGUUUAGAAAAAAGGAGUAAAAAUGUAUUUUGCUUAUUUAAUCUUCUCAGUGCAUCUCAAAAAUCCUGAGUCAGGUGUUUGAAGCCUUUAUUGAUUCUACAGCAGAAGUGAACUUUCCACACUGACAUGGAGACAGCUGCAAGAAGAUUUUUGGACCUUUAUGGGAUUCUUGAAUGGCUGAAAUAUAAUCCUGAACCUGUAAACUUGGGUAAAAAUCUUCUACUAGAAGAUUGCAAUAACUAAGAAUUUUUCUGUGUAUCUCUGGAAAAUCUUAAGAAUCUUGUAGCAUUAUAGCCUUUUUUGUAUUUAGAUUUUUCCAAUAUUAACUAUAUUCCCACUCAUAAUCCUUACCCUAUCCUUGCCAGAGGAUCACUAAAAUGCAAACACAUUAAGGGUCUUUAUCAGAGUGAGCACUUCUCCUUACUCUGUAUGCUGGAACAAUUCAAUAAUAAAAUAAGAUUUUGAGACUUUAUGUUUCUUAACUGAAACCCAUAAACCUAGUUAUAGACAACACAUCAAUUUUGAUGAUAAAAUAGAACACAGGGCUUCAUGCUACAGUCCUGAUUUUGACUAUCAAUUGACCCAAAUCCUAAACUAAGAAUUUACAGCAGACAUUGGUUUCUCAUCAAAACACUGCUCCUGUCGAGUGGAAAAUCAAACAAUGAGGGAAAUUAUGUUCAUAAAGAGAAUAUAAUUGAGUGUCCUGGAUAUGCACAAGCCUUUUUAUAAUCAUCUGAGCUGUUAUGGCAUCAGAAAUAAACAGAACACCCAAUAAUUUGAAUUUC